rnacentral:rRNA from 1 species
AAAACUCUAGAGAUAGAGCUUUCCCCUUCGGGGGACAAAGUGACAGGUGGUGCAUGGUUGUCGUCAGCUCGUGUCGUGAGAUGUUGGGUUAAGUCCCGCAACGAGCGCAACCCUUAAGCUUAGUUGCCAUCAUUAAGUUGGGCACUCUAGGUUGACUGCCGGUGACAAACCGGAGGAAGGUGGGGAUGACGUCAAAUCAUCAUGCCCCUUAUGAUUUGGGCUACACACGUGCUACAAUGGACAAUACAAAGGGCAGCUAAACCGCGAGGUCAUGCAAAUCCCAUAAAGUUGUUCUCAGUUCGGAUUGUAGUCUGCAACUCGACUACAUGAAGCUGGAAUCGCUAGUAAUCGUAGAUCAGCAUGCUACGGUGAAUACGUUCCCGGGUCUUGUACACACCGCCCGUCACACCACGAGAGUUUGUAACACCCGAAGCCGGUGGAGUAACCAUUUAUGGAGCUAGCCGUCGAAGGUGGGACAAAUGAUUGGGGUGAAGUCGUAACAAGGUAGCCGUAUCGGA